rnacentral:tRNA from 1 species
AGGGGUAUAGCUCAGUGGUAAAGCGCAUGCUUAGCAUGAAUGAGGUCCUGAGUUCAAUCCACGGUAACUCCA